AAGGCCGGGGGGUGGGGGGGGAGCGAGAAGGAAGAGGCCAGGAGGCGCCCUCUGAUCUUCGGGCUCUGGUCUCACGCACGCGGCCACGUGACUAGCUCACCAGCUGAUGCCAGAGACAAAGCAGGGAUUCUGAGCCAUCCCUAAAGGCAAGACUCCUGCAUACGGACCGAAACAAGUUUCCCGUCCAAAAUUUCACAGUGAGACUUUGCAGCAUUUUACUUUCAAACCCCUCUCCGUUAAAACAAACAAACAAACAAAAAAACUCAGUAAAUAAAA